UCGAUAUUUGUUGUUUAUGUUGUUUAUUCAGACCUGUUCGGUUUUAAGUGUGUUUAAGUUGGAGUGAUGUUUGUUGUUAACCUUGUUGUAACAAAAAGUUAUUAAUAUAUCAAAAUCAAAGGUUACAAAAAUUGAAAGGAGGUACUAAAUUAUGAUGCAGAGGUUGCUCAUAGAUUGGAACAUUUUUUCUUAUUGUGUCCAGGUUGACGACAUAUACUACAUAAUCUUAUCAUUUUAUCAAUCGUAUCCAUUUCUGUUCUAACACACGUG
rnacentral:lncRNA from 1 species